UCAAUUAGGAUUACCUUUAGAAAAAUAUCAUCAUGUAGUAUGUUCUAAUUAUUUAGAGGCUAAUCUAGGUUUUAUUUGCCCCUAAGCACUUGUCAGUGUGUUAAGAUCUCAUCCAAGCCUAACUCUGUUGCUUCUAGUUAGUUGCUUUCUCCUAUAAUAAUUGAACACCAUCAAGUUUAACACAGUAUCUCUAUGGGGGUUUUUAUGCUAAAUUUUGUUUUUCGGAUACCAUAUGUUUAGUUGCUUACCAGUUUAUCUACCAGAUUUGGUGGCUUACUUUAUCUCUACCUUGUUUGCAGAUCUAAUAAGGGCUUCAAGUGUAAUUGAUGGCUUGCACAAAGAUGGGAGCAGCAAUAUCUCUUUCUGUCAGGAGCGGAUCAGAAGGAGAAAUAGCAAUGUUGGCUAAAACAGAGAGCUACCACAUUAAGAGUCAGAAUUGAGCGAAGUAGAAAGUAAAACACAUUCAGAACAUGCAGAAAUUAUCAAACCGUUGCCUAACUCGCUACGAAGAUUGAUUUGUGUGUUACCAUUACUGCCAUUUUUUCAUGGUUGUCAGUCACGACUCACGGUUCGUAUUUGCUUAACUGGAGAGGUAGAUUUGUCCAACAGUUUCUCCACAAAUCUGAACUUUGUCAGGAUAACAAACUUUAACUAAUUUAUGGCAAAUUCAUUUGCAAUUUAAUCGUCAACUUCUUAUUUGGGGAGUAUUCUGGCCUUUUGUAAAAGAGAGAUCGCCGACAGGAAAAACAGAAAUCACUGUGGGCAGCAGGGGAGGAGGAGAGAAAAUUUUUCAAAUGCACCAUGACACAUAGAUGUGUGGGUUUAUAACAUUGAAGUUUGAGUAGUUUUCUUUAGACAUUCCUUUUGCAAAAGGAUGUUUGAGCCAACACUGUGUCUGUGUCCUGUGAUUUGAAUGCAAUAUCCUUUGUAACUAUAUCUGUCCAUAAUAAAACUAGAGUUUGGCUUAAUUUCUAUCUAUAAUUAAU